rnacentral:lncRNA from 1 species
CCACUUUUCAUUCCAAGAAAUAAAAGGCAAACCUGCACAGGCAGCAAUCACUACCCAGGAGGGAACUCUCUGCUACUUGGACAGAUGAACCUAUGAUCAGAAACGUCUUCUUUGACUUCCCUGUUGCCAUAGCCUCCUUAAUUCUCCCAACAUCAGUGGGUCAAGCCAAUGGCCAAAGACAGUGUAAAUCAGACCCCAAACUAUUAAAUAAAUAAAAUAAAAAUACGAAGGAUGCUAUUUUAAAUUUUAUUUUACAUUUAUUUAUGGUGGUGUGCAUGCGUAGGAGUCUACAGAUCAUGGUGUUUCUGUGGAGAUCAUUGGACUACUUGUAGGAGUCAGUUCUCUCCUUCCACCUGUUGGUUCCAGAGAUCGAAUUCAUAUGAGACUUGGUGGCAAGCACACUUACCUGCUC